AGAGUUUGAUCAUGGCUCAGAAUCAACGCUGGCGGCGUGCCUCAGACAUGCAAGUCGAACGAUUAAAGCUCUCUUCGGAGAGUGCAUAGAGUGGCGCACGGGUGAGUAACACGUAAGUAAUCUACCUUCGAGUGGGGAAUAACGUCCGGAAACGGACGCUAAUACCGCAUAAUGCAGCGGCAUCGUAAGAUGACAGUUGUUAAAGGAGCAAUUCGCUUGAAGAGGAGCUUGCGGCAGAUUAGCUAGUUGGUAAGGUAAUGGCUUACCAAGGCUACGAUCUGUAACCGGUCUAAGAGGACGGUCGGUCACACUGACACUGAAUAACGGGUCAGACUCCUACGGGAGGCAGCAGUCGGGAAUUUUGGGCAAUGGGCGAAAGCCUGACCCAGCAACGCCGCGUGAAGGAUGAAGUAUUUCGGUAUGUAAACUUCGAAAGAAUGGGAAGAAUCAAUGACGGUACCAUUUAUAAGGUCCGGCUAACUACGUGCCAGCAGCCGCGGUAAUACGUAGGGACCAAGCGUUGUUCGGAUUUACUGGGCGUAAAGGGCGCGUAGGCGGCUUAACAAGUCACUUGUGAAAUCUCCGGGCUUAACUCGGAACGGCCAAGUGAAACUGUCAAGCUAGAGUGCAGAAGGGGCAAUCGGAAUUCUUGGUGUAGCGGUGAAAUGCAGAUAUCAAGAGGAACACCUGAGGUGAAGACGGGUUGCUGGGCUGACACUGACGCUGAGGCGCGAAAGCCAGGGGAGCAAACGGGAUUAGAUACCCUAGUAGUCC
rnacentral:rRNA from 1 species